rnacentral:rRNA from 1 species
UACGUAGGGUGCGAGCGUUGUCCGGAAUUAUUGGGCGUAAAGGGCUCGUAGGCGGUCUGUUGCGUCAGGAGUGAAAACUCGGGGCUUAACCCCCGAGCCUGCUUCUGAUACGGGCAGACUAGAGGUAUGCAGGGGAGAACGGAAUUCCUGGUGUAGCGGUGAAAUGCGCAGAUAUCAGGAGGAACACCGGUGGCGAAGGCGGCAUCCUGGACUGGUCCUGACACUCAAGAGCGAAAGCGUGGGGAGCGAUCCGG